UGGGGAAUUGUUCGCAAUGGGCGCAAGCCUGACGACGCAACGUCGCGUGGAGGAUGAAGGUCUUCGGAUUGUAAACUCCUGUUGCCCGGGACGAACGCCUCCAACCUAAUACGUUGGAGGGUGACGGUACCGGGUGAGGAAGCCCCGGCUAACUCUGUGCCAGCAGCCGCGGUAAUACAGAGGGGGCAAGCGUUGUUCGGAAUUACUGGGCGUAAAGGGCGCGUAGGCGGCCUGCUAAGUCGAACGUGAAAUCCCUGGGCUCAACCCAGGAACUGCGUCCGAUACUGGUUGGCUUGAAUCCGGGAGAGGGAUGUGGAAUUCCAGGUGUAGCGGUGAAAUGCGUAGAUAUCUGGAGGAACACCGGUGGCGAAGGCGACAUCCUGGACCGGUAUUGACGCUGAGGCGCGAAAGCCAGGGGAGCAAACGGGAUUAGAUACCCCGGUAGUCCUGGCCCUAAACGAUGAAUGCUUGGUGUGGUGGGUAUCGAUCCCUACCGUGCCGAAGCUAACGCAUUAAG
rnacentral:rRNA from 1 species